ensembl:snoRNA
AGCAGUCCUCUGAGUGCUGUGAUUUCCUAUGGACAAGAACAAAGAGGUGUAAAAAAUAAAUCUUCUUUUGCAACUCAGAACUCAUUGUUCAGUAUGAAUUUUGAUCCACAUAAGAAGAAAGGUU